AUAUGAAAUGGAAAAUAUUCUGGAUUUGUUAUCAGGAGACCUGGGGUAUCUCUCUUAGUGUAUAAUUAUGUAGCCUUAGAUAAGUCAUUUUGGCUGGUGUGCAGCCAUUUCCUAAUAUGAAAGAUGAAGGGCUUGAACUUGAUCCACAUGAGCGUCCUUCCAGUUUAAAAAAGGUUUGUUUCACUCUCCUAGAUUCCAUUAAGUCAUAGCCCAAAUUAUACUCAGCCCCCAAAUCAAAUGUAUACUAAUGAGUUUCUUUCUUACCACCAUUUGGAAAAUUAUUAACUGUUUUAUUUUCCCUCAGUAUCAUGUACUACUAUUAAGAAAUUAUUUAUACAAAAGUAAUAACUAGUACUGAAUACAUGAUGUAUAUUAAAAUAGUAAGCUUAUAAACUGCUCAAAAUCAAAGGGGUAAGUUGUAUAACUUUAUGAUAUAUGAUGCUGAAGUAAUACAAUUAUUAUCAUUAGCCACAGAACACCAAUGUGUCAACUUUUUGUACAAUUAUAUAAAGCUUUGUAUAGUACUUUUGCACUUUUUUAAGUAUGAAUCAAUGAGAAAACAUUUGAUUUUAUUUAAAACUCUUAUAUUUUGUUGAACUUAACUUAUAUAGUUUAUAACCAAUGGAAUGUGCUUGUUGUUGAAUUCACUUAUUUGGAAACAUUCACUCAGCCCCUAUGGGUGCUGUGCUAGGAGCUCGAGAUGUACAGGUGAGGCACUGCUACCAGUAAAACAAAGGAAACCAUAUGUAUAAAGAGUCGGGUCUGUAAAGCCCCUGGCAUCAUGCCUGGCACAUGGUAGCAGGACCUGAGGCUUCUACUGACCCACACGCAGAUACACUGUGGCAACUUUCCCUCAGUUGAACCGGCAGGGUAUGAUGGGAGGAAAUGUCCAGAAAAUAGCAGUGAACCAGGAAAUGGUGGUGCUCAGAGAUCACUGUGAAUUGUUACUGUAUUGAGGGGAGGGGGCCUUUGGAGUACCCAGCCAUUGCAGUGUGGAGCCGUUGCUCAGAAAUGGGGAAAAAAGAAAGAAAAUCUUUUCUUAAGGGACUGAAUGGCCAAGUAUGUUUUUCUCUAGGGCAGUGUUGAGAGCUGUGAAAUAUAUAUUAUUUCAUGACCCAGUACAUGUGUUAAUACAUAUAUAUGAAUGAACUAAAAUGUUUAUGAAAUAAUAUUUACCCUUAAGUCAUGCAACA
rnacentral:lncRNA from 1 species